UACGUAGGUGGCGAGCGUUGUCCGGAUUUACUGGGCGUAAAGAGCGCGCAGGCGGUCGUACAAGUCGCGUGUGAAAGCCCCCGGCUCAACUGGGGAGGGUCACGCGAUACUGUUCGACUCGAAGGCAGGAGAGGGUAGUGGAAUUCCCGGUGUAGUGGUGAAAUGCGUAGAUAUCUAGAGGAACGCCCAAGGCGAAGGCAGGCAGCUGGGCCAAUUCUGACGCUGAGGCACGAAAGCGUGGGGAGCAAACGGG
rnacentral:rRNA from 1 species